GUACUAAAUGUAGCAACAGCUGUGUCACUGAUUUAAUUUUGGAUAUUCUCUAUUGUGUGUCUGUAAUCCUCACAAUGAACUGUCAAGUAGUAGCUGGGAUCCCCAGAAUGUAGUUCAGACACCGGAAACACAUUUAUUUGGAAAGUUUUCAGGCCAGU